GCCUGGCUGGCUCAGUCAGUAGAGCAUUCAACUCUUGAAAUUCGGUUGUAAGUUCAAGCCCUAUGUUGGGCG
rnacentral:tRNA from 1 species